rnacentral:rRNA from 1 species
CGGGUGAGUAACGCGUGGAUAACCUGCCUUGCACGUGGGGAUAACACUUAGAAAUAGGUGCUAAUACCGCAUAAGCGCACAGAGCCGCAUGGCUCAGUGUGAAAAACUCCGGUGGUGUAAGAUGGAUCCGCGUCUGAUUAGCUGGUUGGCGGGGUAGAAGCCCACCAAGGCGACGAUCAGUAGCCGGCCUGAGGGGGUGAACGGCCACAUUGGGACUGAGACACGGCCCAAACUCCUACGGAAGGCAGCAG